rnacentral:tRNA from 1 species
CGCGGGAUGGCGCAGUCGGUCAGCGCGCUGGGUUCAUAUCCCAGAGGUCAGAGGUUCGAGUCCUUUUCCCGCAA